rnacentral:rRNA from 1 species
UACAGAGGGUGCGAGCGUUGUCCGGAAUCACUGGGCGUAAAGGGCGCGUAGGCGGUCCGGUAAGCGCGUGGUGAAAGCUCGGGGCUCAACCCCGAGUCGGCCAUGCGAACUGCGGGACUGGAGCAGAUCAGAGGCAGGCGGAAUUCCGGGUGUAGCGGUGGAAUGCGUAGAUAUCUGGAGGAACACCGGUGGCGAAGGCGGCGUUCUGGACUGCAACUGGCACUGAGGAACGAAAGCCAGGGGAGCAAACGGG